UGACCCCUGUCCUUAUCGCAUUAGCAUUGUUGCUCGGCUUCAACACGCUGUCUGCUGCUUCCGGUAGACAGCAAAUUCUUUUUUGGUGCUUGCUAUUGGUAUGAAUAGUAUACUGCAUAUAGGUUGUGGGUUUGGCCGGUGAUCCGAUAUUGGUGGUGUUGCAGUUGUAGAGGUCCAAGGAUAAGAGAGAGAAAUUCAAGUCAUGUCAUGCCAGUUGAUACAUCAUUAGGCUUGGUAGAGUUUGAAAGCAAUUGUUUGAUAAAAAUCUGUUCAUUGGAUGUUGAUGUUUGUUUUUAUGUCCGUUUUUUAAAUAUAUGUAUUGAGAAUCAUGACAUGCAUGUUUAAAUUUAGUGAGAGAUACAAUUGUAUUUUCUA